rnacentral:rRNA from 1 species
UACAGGGGGUGCAAACGUUGCUCGGAAUUAUUGGGCGUAAAGCGCCCGUAGGCGGUUUGUUAUGUCGGAUGUGAAAGCCCUUGGCUCAACUGAGGAAGUGCAUCCGAAACUGGCAAGCUAGAGUAUGUAAGAGGGUCGCGGAAUUCCCGGUGUAGAGGUGAAAUUCGUAGAUAUCGGGAGGAACACCGGUGGCGAAGGCGGCGACCUGGGACAAUACUGACGCUGAGGUGCGAAAGCGUGGGGAGCAAACAGG